CGCGCAUGCGCGCGGCGCGGCCUCGCGUGAGAGGGGAGCUCGCGCCGGCCGUUGGCGCGGAGUUACCUCAGGGGGGCUCGUGCCGGCCGUUAGCGUGGCGUCACCUCAGCCUGGCCGCGGCCCCGCCGCUCCCUCACAGCUCGGCCGUGAGGCCGGGGAGCCCCGGGCCGAGGCCUCGCGGGGGUGGUAUACUUGUUUAUCGGUGGUUCAGCCCCUGCUGCCUCCGCACCGCACCAGGCUGAGCUCCUGUAGUAGGUUGCUCCCGCUGGGUCUGGGCUGUGGAGGCUGCAGGUGGGAUGUGAGCUCCUGUUUAACUCGGUGCACCUUAUCCUGGCAGAGAGGAGUUGGAUACGCAGAGUGUAAAAUUACAUUUGUUCUGUUAAGUGUCUUGCAACGCUCAUCUUCCAAUAGCUGGUGGCAGUUGAAAUUCCUGAUACCACCUUUAGCGCAGUAGAUUUCUGCUGAUACUGGAAAUACAUCCUCUGCGUGGCUCUUGGUAUUUGUAUUCUCCUGCUGUGCAAAGAAGGAUGGUGGGGAGCCAUUUACCCUCUUAUCUUUGCUACUCCAUGGUAAGAGCAGCUCCCAGCGAAGCCCCUGACCUCGUACGGGAUACCUGAAGGACAGCUCGUCCUGAGGCACAGCUGCAGAGUCUGCUGUGAACGAAGAGGACAUGAAGGCCACUUGGAUUUGCUAUGGAGCAGCUCAGCUUCUGCACUUCAGUGUGGGGAACAGGUUCGAGAAUAGGCUGAGCAGCUUGCAGUUGGCCUGAGCAAGAGCUGGCGCGUUAGCACAGACUAAUUUAUGAAUGAACCCUUCCCUCCCAAAUGAGACAGGAAUAGCUGCCACUGUGGGAUCUGAGCUUCCCUAGCAGAACAGGAGAAGAUGAGGGAAACCAAAGAAAGUCUCUUUGGGAGGGUACAGAAAGGAAUCUAACAGCUAUAGGAGGAAAAAGCCAAAGUAAGCAGAGGUGUUGCCAAGCCUCAAAGACCUGGAGGACCUUGAGAGAUGGAAACAAAAUGAUCCUGAGGAUCAGGCAACUCUUAGAGGAGCGGGAUCCAUACAGGUCUCUGAAGUUGCCUAUCCCCAGAUUCCCCAAGCUCCCAGGAUGUCUCACCAGCGGUUCAUAGCUUGACGAAGGAGGGACUAUCUUCCCCUUAGCUGCUGGGGUACCUGGAUGCACCACUUCAGCAACAUCGGGAAACAUCUCUUGUACCUGGUAUGCAGAGGGAGACUUCUAGUGCUCAGGGAAUGAACAGGUGGAUGAUCUAAAUCCUGUUUUGAUCUAUAAGGUAUCUUUAACACAGUCAUUACCUGUUUUACAAAAAUAUUUUUAAAUAAAGUUUAGUUCUGGCAGUCAUGUAA